UGCAAGUCGAGGGGCAGCACAUGAAGUAGCAAUACGGAUGGUGGCGACCGGCGCACGGGUGAGUAACGCGUAUGCAACCUGCCUACAACAGGGGAAUAACCCGUUGAAAGACGGACUAAUACCCCAUAACACAGGGAUCCCGCAUGGGAAUAUUUGUUAAAGAUUUAUCGGUUGUAGAUGGGCAUGCGUUCCAUUAGCUGGUUGGUGAGGUAACGGCUCACCAAGGCAACGAUGGAUAGGGGAACUGAGAGGUUUAUCCCCCACACUGGUACUGAGACACGGACCAGACUCCUACGGGAGGCAGCAGUGAGGAAUAUUGGUCAAUGGACGCAAGUCUGAACCAGCCACGUCGCGUGAAGGAAGACGGCCCUACGGGUUGUAAACUUCUUUUGUAAGGGAAUAAAGUGCAGUACGUGUACUGUUUUGCAUGUACCUUACGAAUAAGGAUCGGCUAACUCCGUGCCAGCAGCCGCGGUAAUACGGAGGAUCCGAGCGUUAUCCGGAUUUAUUGGGUUUAAAGGGUGCGCAGGCGGGAGAUUAAGUCGGCGGUGAAAUUUUGCAGCUCAACUGUAAAAGUGCCUUCGAAACUGGUUUUCUUGAGUGUGGAUGAAGUAGGCGGAAUUUGUGGUGUAGCGGUGAAAUGCAUAGAUAUCACGAGGAACUCCGAUUGCGCAGGCAGCUUACUAAACCAUAACUGACGCUCAGGCACGAAGGCGUGGGGAUCAAACAGGAUUAGAUACCCUGGUAGUCCACGCAGUAAACGAUGAUUACUAGCUGUUU
rnacentral:rRNA from 1 species